AACGAACGCUGGCGGCAUGCCUAACACAUGCAAGUCGAACGAGACCUUCGGGUCUAGUGGCGCACGGGUGCGUAACGCGUUGGAAUCUGCCCUUAGGUACGGAAUAACUCAGGUAAACUUGUGCUAAUACAGUAUACUGUCGUGAGACCAAAGAUUUAUCGCGUAGGGAUGAGCCCGCGUAGGAUUAGCUAGUUGGUGGGGGAAAAGGCUACCAAGGCGACGAUCCUUAGCUGGUCUGAGAGGAUGAUCAGCCACACUGGGAAUGAGACACGGCCCAGACUCCUACGGGAGGCAGCAGUGGGGAAUAUUUGGACAAUGGGCGAAAGCCUGAUCCAGCAAUGCCGCGUGAGUGAAGAAGGCCUUCGGGUUGUAAAGCUCUUCUACCCGGGAAGAUAAUGACUGUACCGGGAGAAUAAGCCCCGGCUAACUCCGUGCCAGCAGCCGCCGUAA
rnacentral:rRNA from 1 species